rnacentral:rRNA from 1 species
AAUGAACGUUGGCGGCGUGGAUUAGGCAUGCAAGUCGAGCGAGAAGUGUGGCAAUACACGGAAAGCGGCGGAAGGGAGAGUAAUACGUGGGAAUCUGCCCUUAGACCUGGGAUAGCAGCGGGAAACUGCUGGUAAUACCAGAUAAUGUCUAUGGACCAAAGGUGUGAUUCCGUCUAGGGAUGAGCCCACGUCCUAUUAGCUAGUUGGUAGGGUAAUGGCCUACCAAGGCGAUUAUGGGUAGCGGGUGUGAGAGCAUGACCCGCCUCACUGGGACUGAGACACUGCCCAGACACCUACGGGUGGCUGCAGUCGAGAAUCUUCGGCAAUGGGCGCAAGCCUGACCGAGCGAUGCCGCGUGCGGGAUGAAGGCCUUCGGGUUGUAAACCGCUGUCGAGGGGGAGCAACUUCCAUAGAGUUAUCUUUAUGGAUUGAGUGAUCCCUGGAGGAAGGACGGGCUAAGUUCGUGCCAGCAGCCGCCGUAAUAC